rnacentral:rRNA from 1 species
UCCUACGGGCGGCAGCAGUGAGGAAUAUUGGUCAAUGACCGAGAGGCUGAACCAGCCAAGUCGCGUGAGGGAUGACGGCCCUACGGGUUGUAAACCUCUUUUGUCGGGGAGCAAGAACCGCCACGAGUGGCGGAGCGAGAGUACCCGAAGAAAAAGCAUCGGCUAACUCCGUGCCAGCAGCCGCGGUAAUACGGAGAAUGCGAGCGUUAUCCGAAUUUAUUGGGUUUAAAGGGUGCGCAGGCGGACCAUCCA